ensembl:lncRNA
GGAUCAGGUAGGGGUAGGGGUAGGGUAAGGGUUAGGUUUUAGUUUAGGUUUAGGGUUACGGUUUGACUUAGGCGUUGGCUUAGGCUUGGGGUUCAGAUUAAGUUUAGAGGAAGGGCUGGGGUUAGGCCUAGGGUUAUGGUUAGGUAUAGGGUUAGGGGUAGUGUUAAAGGUAUAUUGUUUAGGGUUAGGGUUAGGGUUAGGUUCAGGGUUUGGUUAGGUUUGGGCUAGGGUUACUGUUAGGGUUACGUUCAGGGUUUUAUUUAGCUUUUCGGUUAGUGUUAGGGUUAGGUUAGGAUUACGGUUAGGGUUAGUGUUAGGGUUACGGUUGGGGUAGGGUUAGGCUUAGGGUAAGUUUAGGGUAAGGGUAGGGUUAGUGUUAGGGUUACGGUUGGGGUAGGGUUAGGCUUAGGGUAAGUUUAGGGUAAGGGUAGGGUUAGGGUUAGCAUGACGGUUAGGGUUAGGGUU